UACGGGAGGCAGCAGUGGGGAAUAUUGGACAAUGGGCGAAAGCCUGAUCCAGCCAUGCCGCGUGUGUGAAGAAGGCUUUCGGGUUGUAAAGCACUUUCAGUUGUGAGGAAAGGUUGGUAGUUAAUACCUGCCAGCUGUGACGUUAACAACAGAAGAAGCACCGGCUAACUCCGUGCCAGCAGCCGCGGUAAUACGGAGGGUGCGAGCGUUAAUCGGAAUUACUGGGCGUAAAGCGCGCGUAGGCGGCUUCGUCAGUCAGAUGUGAAAGCCCCGGGCUCAACCUGGGAACUGCAUUUGAUACUGCGGAGCUAGAGUAUGGUAGAGGAUAGUGGAAUUCCAGGUGUAGCGGUGAAAUGCGUAGAUAUCGGGAGGAACAUCGAUGGCGAAGGCAGCCAACUGGGCCUGAUCUGACGCUGAGGUACGAAAGCGUGGGGAGCAAACAGGAUUAGAUACCCUGGUAGUCCACGCUGUAAACGAUGAGAACUUGAUGUUGGGAUGCUUAGCAUUUCAGUGUCGAAGCUAACGCGAUAAGUUCUCCGCCUGGGGAGUACGGCCGCAAGGUUAAAACUCAAAUGAAUUGACGGGGGCCCGCACAAGCGGUGGAGCAUGUGGUUUAAUUCGAUUCAACGCGAAGAACCUUACCAGGACUUUUAUCUAUUUAAUUUUAAGAAAUUAAAAUUUAGUGAAGUAGAAAUAGGUGGUGCAUGGCUGUCGCCAGCUCGUGUCGUGAGAUGUUGGGUUAAUUCCCUUAACGAGCGCAACCCUUGUUUGGUCAGUUGUUAUGGAUUUCUGAGAAGACUGCCGAUGAGAAAUCGGAGGAAGGUAAGGAUGACGUCAAGUCAGUAUGCCCCGUAUGUCCUGGGCUACACACGUGCUACAAUGGUUAAGACAAAGAGCCGCUUACUUGUAAAAGAUGAAGAAGCCAAAGUAAGUAAAAUUAUUUUAGUAAGAGCAAAUCUCCAAACUUAAUCGAAGUUCGGAUUGUAGGCUGCAACUCGCCUACAUGAAGUUGGAAUCGCUAGUAAUCGCUGGUCAGCAGUACAGCGGUGAAUUCGUCCCUGGGCCUUGUACACACCGCCCGUCACACCAUGGAAGUUGGUCAGGCUGGAAACUAAUAUUAAAUUAGUAGUUAAAGUGGGGCGAGCGACUGGGGUGAAGUCGAAACAAGGUAGCCGUACUGGAAGGUGCGGCUGGAUCAUCUA
rnacentral:rRNA from 15 species